AAGGAAUAUAAAAGUGUGUGUAAUGACCUGCUUUGGUGUGCAGGAUUUGAGAUUCUAUUCUCCCUGUACCUUGUUUGCAGCUGCAAAUAAACUCUUCUGCUUCUCCACCCCGUUGUGAUUAUUCAGUGAAGCACACUGGGUAAAGAACCCCUGCUGUUGUUUUGCCUUUCGGCACUGGGUGCCGGCAACACAGCGACCAUUCGUGCUGAGAGAAGUACCGGCUCAGCUGAUCCGCCCGAGAGUUUUGGACGUCCGGUACUAAGUAACUACGAACUAAAUGAAGUCCAAACAGGGAAGCUAAAGCAGAGCUGGAGCAGAGCAGUUCCGAAGCACCUUCACUGGAGGGAAGAAGGAACUGAGGGUGGGGGGAGCACAGAGUGCCCCUUAUACCGUGCCAUAGCAGCUCCACUCCAGGGGUUGCUAGGGGCGCACCCCUACAGGUGUAGAUCAAGGAUGUUGGUGCUUAGCCCUCUCUGCAGCAGCCUGAACUACCAAUGAGUUAGGAGCUGGGUGGGAGAAGAGGAAUUCUGAUCCUUUGGCCAGGAUAUAGUAGCGUCUCUCUGCUCCUUUAGGGCUGCCCAUACAUGUGGCAGGGGUGUGCCACACUGUCCUGGCUGGCUCCAGUAUGGCUUCAUUGAUUUGUAGUGCUAUUCUCACUGGUCCCGACAUGUGAAGAACGUCCAGAACCUUAUCCUGGGAGUCUUGAACUCUUCCAAUGGGAUUUGAAGUUCCCCCAUAACUCUCUGUAAAAGCUACUGGAAUCAUCUGAAGUUAUCUGGUGGGGAAGGGUAUGAUGCAGUCAAAGCCUCAUCUGGAGGCUUGGAGGAUGGGAAUCUAGCCAGCUCUGGCGGAACCACUAUGACCAGGGUAUAAAAUUCUUCCUCUGCUGUUGGAUCCGUGGGCCUGCUUGACAGCAACUCUCUCGCAGACUGGGUGGGGUCUGAAGGAGGAUAAUGCGCCAGGGCCCCCAAUAUGGCCAAUAAGCCAGAUCAACAAGAGCUUGCAGGGGUCCCCAGUGGUUCUGGGGAGGAUAAGAAGGCAGCUGUUCCCAAAAGCGUGAUGGUCUCCGUGAUGGUGCAUAAGAGUGGUAUGGUAGAGGCGAUUCUUCUCCCAGUUCCGAAUCAUUGGAAGAGGAAAAGACAGACUCCAGUUCUAAAGGUGGUAACACUGGAGCCAAUGGAAUGGUGUAUAGCACAUGCAAGGAGGGUGACAGACCCCAUACCACAGGCACAACCCAUGGUGGGAAUAUGAUUUCUCGGGAAGUGGAGGGACCUGAUGGAGAAGACUCUUGGAUGUAACUGUGGAUCCAGAUCUCCGUGUUGUGAGGGACACACUCUCUUUCCCAGUUGUUAGUACCGGCGCUGAGGUCUUUUCUGGUAUGGGAAAGGGUUAUCACCUGGAACCGCUGGAUCCCACUGUUUAUGGGUCUUCCUCCCAUGCCUGUGGGACUUGGAAUGUGCUCUGUGCCCUUGGACUCAGCUGGUGGAAGGAACGUCCAGAUUCUUGGACUGGGAGGAAGACUUAGUGCCAUGAUUUUAGAAAUUCCUAAUCUCCCAACUCGGCCCCAUCAUGGGGUCUGUGGGAGUGGUUCCGCUGGCACCAGAGCCAGAUGAAGCAGCAAGAGGCGCACUCCUUGUUGAAUAAGGCCGAUAUACACUAGGGGUUCUCCAGCAUGGUCUGAAUGCUGUCUCACAGUCAUCUCCACGAGAUACGUCCGGAGCCAAGUGCUCAGCAUUCUCGGUUGCAGCUGCGGAAGGCAUGGCAAAUACUGUACCCAGCUGCAACGUGAGCUUCUCCUAGGCAGCAUAGGCAGCAUUGGUCGUUGUCACUGACUGAGAUGGAUCAUGGCAAGAGCUGCAGAAUUUGAAGCCUGGAGUUCUGAGGGUAGCCCGGUACUUGCAUGGUACUAUGGGGUGCACGAAUGGGGAAAAUCCCUGAAGUCUACCCUAAACUAACUGUUACUAAAACCAGGAAAUAAAACUACAGUUAAAAUUGCUAAAACUAUCUACUGCUAUAUUUUUAGAAGUGCAUCAGAGAGAAGGACACUGAAGGUUCCGACUCAUACCAUGCACCGGUAAGAAGAAACUGGAGACACAGUCAGCCUGCCCCACUAUCCAAGGCGGGUCAGGGCGCAUACGCAGGCCAAUGGGUACUACUUUCAAAUUCUUCGACUCAGGACACAUGGUGCGCAUGUGUAACCCUCUAUGGAAUACAAUAGGGACCAUCGCUUGAAGAACAAUAAAUAUUUGAUAAUGGGAUCUUCAAUCUAGCAGACAAAGACCCCGUGGCUGUAAGUUGAAGCUAGACAAAUUCAGACUACAAAUAAGGGAUACAUUUUUAACAGUGAGGGUAAUUAAUCAUUGGAACUAUUUACAAAGGGUAGCGGUGGAGUCUUCCUCACUGACAAUUUUUAAAUCAAAAUUGGAUGUUUUCCUAAAAAAUAUGCUCUAGUUCAUACAAAUUAUUCUGAAGAAUGUCUAUGGCCUGUGUUAUUCAGGAGGUCAGAUGAGAUGAUUACAUUCGUCCCUUGUGGCUACAGAAUUUAUGAAUCCUCAAUGUUCUAAGGGCUUAAGAGUCUCAAGACAGUUACACACUGCAACAACCGUUGUAACUCACUGAUAAGUGAGUGCUACAGGUCCCCCUGUGUGCUGAUCCACAUAGGAAAUUAGUUGUUACAGCCCUCAGAUAGUGAGCCAUGGCUCUUUAGCUCAAGCCAUAGAUGUUCAUGCUUUUGCUCUGAAGGUCCAUGGUUCAAUUCCAGUAUGUCAGCCAAGAUGACAACUGUCAUACCAUCAUAGUAUCAUACAUGUCCAUUUUUCCUCUACUCUCCUCCAAUCUAAUGCUGCCAUAUUAAACAAAACCCUACAUAUUCAUGUAAAAAGUGACUCAAGUAUAAGUCAGUGACCCCGACAUUUAAUAGGAAAAAAAACUGCAAAAGCAUUUUGUCUUUUAUAUAAUGCAAGCGGGCUUAUGCAAGAGUACAUACAUUAGCAAGAAUCAAGUGUAGACACUGUGGCACUUCUACUAUUUAAACUUCUUUCUAUAUUUAUAAUCUUUGAUUCAUGGACAAACUGACCCCUUUUUGUUCCCCCAUUUCUCUUCCAAAUAGUUCUGUCCCCAGGUCAAGAUUUGGGGAUGUGCGCAUGUGUGAUUUGCAUAGUCAUUGCCUGCACUGUAACUGUUCUGUGGUUACAGAGGACUUCAUUCUCCGGAUCUCGCAAUCCAGCAUCUUUUGCAACGAUAAACUCCCAGUUUAUUCAAAUGCACAAAGAAACUAUAUCACAUAUCACUCUAAAAACUAUGCAUACACAAUUGCAAAAAUCUUGGUGUACACUUUGAUCAGUGACAAUCACUACAAAAAUGUUUUUACUGGAUUCAACAGUGACCGUAAGACUCUAUUCCCCCCCCUCCCCUUCAGCACAUCAGAAAGAGAGAAUAUUUCUUUAAAAGGCUGUUAGGCAAACAAUAUUCUCUGGUAGAUGGCACCAAAAAUAUCUUUAAUAAUGAAAUUAGGGGAAAUCUUUAGGAAUCUGUUUGGAUUUGCCUGGCAGAAACUGAUGAAGUGAAUGUUAAUGCAAUAUGUUCUGUACCCAUGAAACCAGACUCCCAGAGGUAAAAUCCUCAUUAUAUAAUCUUCAUAGAUAUCUUUUUUUAAAACCACAUAACAAGGUUUUUCACUAUGUACAGCUGAAUGAAACGAAAAGAUUAACACCCACUCACCUCUGAAAUGCAAGAAGAGCCUUUCUCUGCAGGACCUCUUGCAUCCCUCGCAAAGAUGCUAAAAAAGGAUAUAUUUAAUCAGCGAUAUUUAAGAGUCAAAGAUUUGCUUGCACAUGCUUAUUGAACAAAGAUUAAUACAUUCACAGACUAUUACGACAAAAAUGAUACAAAAAACGUACAACACAUUUUCUUUUAGAGGCUGGUGUGUUUGAGGUUUUUCUAUGAUAUGACUGGUAUUUCUAACUUUAUGAGUAUGUUUAAACUGCAGGUGGGAGCGUACUUCCCACAUGGGCAGACGCACACCAGCUUUGCUCGAGCUAGUGCACUAAAAUUAGCAGUGUAGCCAAAGUAGCAUAGGUGGCAGCAUUGGCCAACUGUCUGAAUGCAUACCAAGGGGGUCUGGGCAGGUUUGUGCUCAGGUGGCUAGCCGGAGCUGCUGCCUUCUCUGCUAUUUUGCUACUCUGCUAUUUUUACAGCGCUAGCUCAAGCAAAGCUAGCACAUCUGUCUACCCACGCUGGGAAGCACACUCCAGCCGCAGUGUAAACAUACCCUAUGCGUGUAUUUUUUUCUUACC